rnacentral:lncRNA from 1 species
AAUAUGCUGUGAGGAGUCAUUUGGUGAGGUUUGAUUGAAAUCCAAUUGCUAAAACUAUGCAAUACACCAACCACUAAAUUUACAGUACGCACUUUGUAUGAACUUGAAGUGCUCAAUUUCAGUGACCCAGUGAAUUUGAAUCGAGCCCAAAACUUGGGCAACAUCAUAUUACGGUGGGAGGAGUCAUUUCGUGAGUUUUGAGUGAAAUCCAAUUGCUAAAACGAUGCAAUAAACCAACCACUCCAUUUACGAACGAACUUCGUAUGAACUUGAAGUGUCCAAUUUCGUUGACUUAGUGAAUUUGGAUCGAGCCCUAAACUUGAGCAACAUCAUAAUAUGGUGUGAGGAGUCAUUUUGUGAAUUUUCAGUGAAAUCCAAUUCCUAAAACUACGCAAUACACCAACCACUCACUAUGUUAAAUUUGACCUUUAGUUUCUGAUAAUAUUUGUUGCUAAAGGCCACUACCUACCGAUGUAUUGGGAUAUUAUCCAUUGCCUUUAUAUAUCUACCUCAUCAGUUAUAUCCUAAACACUGAUGCUAAAGUGCCUUCCAUGUGCCAAAAAAUCGUCGACCUCCGAUGCCUAAACAUGUAAUGACUUCGGUAGUUUUAAUAAUUCUGAUGCUAAAUGCUGUUUACAACAUCAGAGUUAUAUACUACAUUGAUGCUUUUUCCGACUUACAACAUCGUAUAAUACAAUAGUGAUGAUGCCGCUUCCAGUUAUAGGCAUCAAUUGUCUUAGGAGUGCUGUUGUUAUUUUAAAUUUUUAACUUUUGUUGUUUGUGCAAAAUUGAGGUUGUUAUGAACAAUAUCAUGUACUGUUGUCCAUUGCACAUCAAAAAACAUAUAUAAAUUUAAAUAUUUCCAUAUAUCAAAUUAUAUAUCCAACACUUCCAUAAAUCACAAAUUUUCCAACCCCACAUAUGAUCCAUACUUGUUUAUAAGCAAAAUACUAGCAACAAAAAUACAUAAUAAAAUGAAGAAUGCUAAUUUCAAACAAAAGGCCACUCUAGGACAUGACUUGCAAAAUACUAGCGAGAAAGACAUGUAAAAUGAAGGAAUGUUUAGCUCAAUCAAAAAGCCAUUCUAGGACAUGAGUUGCUAAUUCUUCUCGCACCUCAUCCAAUUUCAUUUGGGUGUAC